rnacentral:rRNA from 1 species
GUACGGAAGGUGCAAGCGUUGGUCGGGGUCGCUGGGCGUAAAGCGCUCGUGGGUGGCUUUGUAAGUCAGGUGUGAAAGCCCACGGCUCAACCGUGGAAUUGCACUUGAUACUGCAUUGCUUGAGUUCGGGAGAGGGUAGUGGAAUUCCAGGUGUAGGAGUGAAAUCCGUAGAGAUCUGGAGGAACACCAGUGGCGAAGGCGACUACCUGGACCGAUACUGACACUGAGGAGCGAAAGCGUGGGGAGC